rnacentral:rRNA from 1 species
UACGGAGGGUGCAAGCGUUAAUCGGAAUUACUGGGCGUAAAGCGUGCGCAGGCGGUUUGUUAAGUCUGUUGUGAAAUCCCCGAGCUCAACUUGGGAAUUGCAAUGGAUACUGGCAGGCUGGAGUAUGGUAGAGGAAGGUGGAAUUCCCGGUGUAGCAGUGAAAUGCGUAGAGAUCCGGAAGAAUACCGGUGGCGAAGGCGGCCUGCUGGGCAGUGGCUGACACUGAGGCGCGACAGCGUGGGGAGCAAACAGG